rnacentral:rRNA from 1 species
UACAGAGGUCCCAAGCGUUGUUCGGAAUUACUGGGCGUAAAGGGUGCGUAGGCGGUCUGUUAAGUUGGAUGUGAAAACUCUGGGCUCAACCCAGAGCCUGCAUCCAAAACUGGCAGGCUAGAGUUCUGGAGGGGGUAGCGGAAUUCCUGGUGUAGCGGUGAAAUGCGUAGAUAUCAGGAGGAACACCGGUGGCGAAGGCGGCUACCUGGACAGAAACUGACGCUGAGGCACGAAAGCUAGGGGAGCAAACAGG